GCAGUGGUACUUCAGUGGUAGAAUUCUCGCCUUCCAUGUGGGAGACCCAGGUUUGAUUCCCGGCCAGUGUA
rnacentral:tRNA from 1 species